rnacentral:rRNA from 1 species
GGUAACGACUAAGCGUACACGGUGGAUGCCCUGGCAGUCAGAGGCGAUGAAGGACGUGCUAAUCUGCGAUAAGCGUCGGUAGGUGAUAUGAACCGUUAUAACCGGCGAUUUCCGAAUGGGAAACCCAGUGUGAUUCGUCACACUAUCAUUAACUGAAUCCAUAGGUUAAUGAGGCGAACCGGGGAACUGAAGCAUCUAAGUACCCCGGAGGAAGAAAUCAACCGAGAUUCCCCAGUAGCGGCGAUGAACGGGAGCAGCCCAGAGCCUGAAUCAGUGUGUGUGUUAGUGGAAGCGUCUGGAAAGGCGCGCGAUACAGGAGUGACAGCCCGUACACAAAAAUGCAUAUACUGUGAGCUCGAUGAGUGGGGCAGGACACGUGGUAUCCUGUCUGAAUAUGGGGGACCAUCCUCCAAGGCUAAAUACUCCUGACUGACCGAUAGUGAACCAGUACCGUGAGGAAAGGCGAAAAAGAACCCCGGCGAGGGAGUGAAAAAAGAACCUGAAACCGUGUACGUACAAGCGGUGGGAGCCUCUUUUAUGGGGUGACUGCGUACCUUUUGUAUAAUGGGUCAGCGACUUAUAUUCUGUAGCAAGGUUAACCGAAUAGGGGAGCCGAAGGAAACCAGUCUUAACUGGGCGUUAAGUUGCAGGGUAUGGACCGAAACCCGGUGAUCUAGCCAUGGGCAGGUUGAAGGUUGGGUAACACUAACUGGAGGACCGAACCGACUAAUGUUGAAAAAUUAGCGGAUGACUUGUGGCUGGGGGUGAAAGGCCAAUCAAACCGGGAGAUAGCUGGUUCUCCCGAAAGCUAUUUAGGUAGCGCCUCGUGAAUUCAUCUCCGGGGUAGAGCACUGUUUCGGCAAGGGGUCAUCCCGACUUACCAACCCGAUGCAAACUGCGAAUACCGGAGAAUGUUAUCACGGGAGACACACGGCGGGUGCUAACGUCCGUCGUGAAGAGAAACAACCCAGACCGCCAGCUAAGGUCCCAAAGUCAUGGUUAAGUGGAAACGAUGUGGGAAGGCCCAGACAGCCAGGAUGUUGGCUUAGAAGCAGCCAUCAUUUAAAGAAAGCGUAAUAGCUCACUGGUCGAGUCGGCCUGCGCGGAAGAUGUAACGGGGCUAAACCAUGCACCGAAGCUGCGGCAGCGACGCUUAUGUUGUUGUUAGGGGAGCGUUCUGUAAGCCUGUGAAGGUGUGCUGUGAGGCAUGCUGGAGGUAUCAGAAGUGCGAAUGCUGACAUAAGUAACGAUAAAGCGGGUGAAAAGCCCGCUCGCCGGAAGACCAAGGGUUCCUGUCCAACGUUAAUCGGGGCAGGGUGAGUCGACCCCUAAGGCGAGGCCGAAAGGCGUAGUCGAUGGGAAACAGGUUAAUAUUCCUGUACUUGGUGUUACUGCGAAGGGGACGGAAAGAAGGCUAUGUUGGCCGGGCGACGGUUGUCCCGGUUUAAGCGUGUAGGCUGGUUUUCCAGGCAAAUCCGGAAAAUCAAGGCUGAGGCGUGAUGACGAGGCACUACGGUGCUGAAGCAACAAAUGCCCUGCUUCCGUGAAAGCCUCUAAGCAUCAGGUAACAUCAAAUCGUACCCCAAACCGACACAGGUGGUCAGGUAGAGAAUACCAAGGCGCUUGAGAGAACUCGGGUGAAGGAACUAGGCAAAAUGGUGCCGUAACUUCGGGAGAAGGCACGCUGAUAUGUAGGUGAAGUCCCUUGCGGAUGGAGCUGAAAUCAGUCGAAGAUACCAGCUGGCUGCAACUGUUUAUUAAAAACACAGCACUGUGCAAACACGAAAGUGGACGUAUACGGUGUGACGCUGCCCGGUGCCGGAAGGUUAAUUGAUGGGGUUAGCGGUAACGCGAAGCUCUUGAUCGAAGCCCCGGUAAACGGCGGCCGUAACUAUAACGGUCCUAAGGUAGCGAAAUUCCUUGUCGGGUAAGUUCCGACCUGCACGAAUGGCGUAAUGAUGGCGGGCUGUCUCCACCCGAGACUCAGUGAAAUUGAACUCGCUGUGAAGAUGCAGUGUACCCGCGGCAAGACGGAAAGACCCCGUGAACCUUUACUAUAGCUUGACACUGAACAUUGAGCCUUGAUGUGUAGGAUAGGUGGGAGGCUUUGAAGUGUGGACGCCAGUCUGCAUGGAGCCGACGAAAUACCACCCUUUAAUGUUUGAUGUUCUAACGUUGGCCCCUGAUCGGGGUUGCGGACAGUGUCUGGUGGGUAGUUUGACUGGGGCGGUCUCCUCCUAAAGAGUAACGGAGGAGCACGAAGGUUGGCUAAUCCUGGUCGGACAUCAGGAGGUUAGUGCAAUGGCAUAAGCCAGCUUGACUGCGAGCGUGACGGCGCGAGCAGGGUGCGAAAGCAGGUCAUAGUGAUCCGGUGGUUCUGAAUGGAAGGGCCAUCGCUCAACGGAUAAAAGGUACUCCGGGAUAACAGGCUGAUACCGCCCAAGAGUUCAUAUCGACGGCGGUGUUUGGCACCUCGAUGUCGGCUCAUCACAUCCUGGGGCUGAAGUAGGUCCCAAAGGGUAUGGCUGUUCGCCAUUUAAAGUGGUACGCGAGCUGGGUUUAGAACGUCGUGAGACAGUUCGGUCCCCUAUCUGCCGUGGGCGCUGGAGAACUGAGGGGGCUGCUCUAGUACGAGAGGACCGGAGUGGACGCAUCACUGGUGUUCGGGUUGUCAUGCCAAUGGCACUGCCCGGUAGCUAAAUGCGGAAGAGAUAAGUGCUGAAAGCAUCUAAGCACGAAACUUGCCCUGAGAUGAGUUCUCCCUGACUCCUUGAGAGUCCUGAAGGAACGUUGAAGACGACGACGUUGAUAGGCCGGGUGUGUAAGCGCAGCGAUGCGUUGAGCUAACCGGUACUAAUGAACCGUGAGGCUUAACCUU